ACUUCUGGAGGCAGAAUAAGCAAGCGACAGGUAGGAUUAUAUGAGCCAUGAACAACCUUUUCUUCAUGGUGUAAGUUUGUUUUCCAUUUUUUUGGUUAUCAAGCAAAAGGUUCUUUGCCAUCCAAAUUUGAUUGUGACUAUGCCUAUGUAAGUUUAUGUAUUAACAUGGGUCUGAUUAAAAACUCAAUCUUUGAAUAUAAAUUUAACAAGGGUUUAAUAGAACUUAUUUUAGUUUUGAUUUGAGAAUGAGUACAGGUCAGGAGACAUGCUGCAAGUGCAGGAUUUCAAUAUUGUUAUGCGUCAAUUAGGCAAGCAAAAUAGAUUCAAGGAUCUUUCUCAGGUCUUUGAAUGGAUGCAACAACAUGGAGAGCUAAACUUUACGUCUUAUAGUAGUUACAUAAAUCUCAUGGGGAAAAAUCUCCAUCCUAAAAAGGCACUCGAAAUAUACAAUGGCAUCGAAGAUAGGUUAAAUAAGGUUAACCCGUCUGUUUGCAAUUCGGUUCUCGGCUGUUUAAAUAGAAACGGCAAAAUCGAGAAAAGAUUUGAACUCUUUCGUCACAUGAAACAUGACGGUCUUGUGCCAGAUGUUGUUACUUAUAGUAUGGUAUGCCUAUAAUCCCCCCAUGUUACUUAUAGUAUGGUAUGUCUAUAAUCCCCCCAUUUUUGUUUUAUUUUCUUUAGCUACUUUCGGGUUGUGCGGAAGUCCAAAUGGUUAUACAAAAGCAACAAAGCUGGUACAGGAGCUCAAGCACAAGGGGUUGCAAAUUCUCUAAAUCUUAUAAUCUGUUAUUUAUUUAUCAUUCUUUCACAUUUUUAGCAUGUAGGCGAAUAAUCUGAGAACGAUGAGGGUCUAAGUAUGGGUUCUUACGACGACAUGACCCUCUCUCAAUCUUUCAACAGCUUUUUGUUUAGGCAAAAUCGAGUUUUAAUAUGACUCUUGAUUCAGUAUGUUUUCCAUGUUUGGUUUUGUUUUUUUUUUCCGACCAGUUUAAGAAUCUGACCAGUUUAAGAAUCUGAAAUUUAGAUCCACUUCUGAUAUAUGUUGUAUUGAUCUUCAAUAUUUGGUUGAGGAUACGCACCAGUAAGCUAGCUAGCUGGGUAGUUCGAUUGGCUUUUACCCUAUGUUUAGGAACUACUUGAUGGUAUCCUGUUCAAGGUUCAAGUUUUCACCUUUUUAAUUUCUUAUUGAUUGAUAGAUUGAUUUUUAAAUAAUUUGCUUAUUGAAAGCUAUUUUUGUUGAUGUUUGAUGUGUAGAUAGGAUGUGGCGGGUACAUUUUAGGGUUCUAACUUUUAUAGCAAAUUUAUUUGCAGGUAUCGACACUUUAAUGGUUGUUUUUUAAUCAUCAGAGGAAAAGGAAUGCUCAACGAUCAAGCACCCCCGCCCCAAAAGCUGAGACCGGAGAACUGCCAGGCGACGAGUCUGCGGGUAAAGGAUGGCUGGCAUCCUAUUUGAUCGCUUAACACAAUCAUGGCCUCAAUACCCAUUCUUAAUGAACGUUGUGACUUCACACUUGAAACCGACUG